UAGGGAAUCUUCGGCAAUGGGGGGAACCCUGACCGAGCAACGCCGCGUGAGUGAAGAAGGUUUUCGGAUCGUAAAGCUCUGUUGUUAAGGAAGAACGAGUGUGAGAAUGGAAAGUUCAUACUGUGACGGUACUUAACCAGAAAGGGACGGCUAACUACGUGCCAGCAGCCGCGGUAAUACGUAGGUCCCGAGCGUUGUCCGGAUUUAUUGGGCGUAAAGCGAGCGCAGGCGGUUAGAUAAGUCUGAAGUUAAAGGCAGUGGCUCAACCAUUGUAGGCUUUGGAAACUGUUUAACUUGAGUGCAGAAGGGGGGAGUGGAAUUCCAUGUGUAGCGGUGAAAUGCGUAGAUAUAUGGAGGAACACCGGUGGCGAAAGCGGCUCUCUGGUCUGUAACUGCCGCUGAGGCUCGAAAGCGUGGGUAGCAAACAGG
rnacentral:rRNA from 1 species